CGAGGACCGAGCAGUCGAGGAGCUAUCAAAUAAGCGACACGAGAAGCACCCUAUGUGUUGGCUUCGCGGUUAAAGUUAAGGAUGAAAGUGUUUGUCUCGUCCUGCAGGCUGCAGCUCAGUCUGCAGGACAUGAAGAGACAUGAUGGUCCCACUCAAGUUUCAACACAUUCAGACACAACCCCACUUCCCUCUGCAGCUCCAUGAAGAAUUAUUGUUCUUCUCCACCUGUCCACCAGGUGUCCUCAGACUCUCCUCAUCCUGAUCACCUGUGUCUCAUUUCCCAAUCACCCUGUCAGCACAUAUACCAGACCUGGUCCUGGUUGGUCCAUGUUGUGUCGGGCUUUAAAAAGCACCAAUACCACACUGUGAAAAC